UAACUUAUGCAGUGGCAGUAUUGUAGCCAAUGAGGUUUAUACGAGAUGCAAUUAUUGCUAAUUAAAAACUAAUUUUAGUUUUGUUUAGAGGAAAAUAUGAUUAUUCAU
rnacentral:snRNA from 13 species